UCAAGCUAAUAAGAGCGCAGGGAGGAUGCCUUGGCAUUGGGAGCCGAUGAAGGACGUGGUAAGCUGCGAAAAGCUGCGGGGAAUUGCAAGCAAGUAUUGAUCCGCAGAUGUCCGAAUGGAGCAAUCCGUUAAGAGUAAUAUCUUAACAUCAUAUACUGAAUCAAUAGGUAUAUGAGGGGAACCGCCUGAACUGAAACAUCUAAGUAGGGCGAGGAAAAGAAAUCAACCGAGAUUCCGAAAGUAGUGGCGAGCGAAAUCGGAAGAGGCUAAACCGAACUCAGAAAUGAGAUCGGGGUUUAGGACUGCAUUUAGUAUUGAAAUGAGCGAGCAGAAUGCUUUGGGAAAAGCAGCCGAAGAACGUGAGAGCCGUGUAAGCGAAGUGAGUUUCAGCGAGCAGUAUCCAAAGUACCGCGGGGCACGUGAAAUCCCGUGGGAAGAUGGGGGGACCACCCUCCAAGCCUAAAUACUACCCAAUGACCGAUAGCGAAUAGUACUGUGAAGGAAAGGUGAAAAGCACCCCGGGAGGGGAGUGAAAAAGAACCUGAAACCCUGUGCUUACAAGCACUGAGAGCUCGUCAAAGAGUGAUCAGGUACCUAUUGUAGAAUGGUCCGGCGAGUUAUGAUAUGCAGCAAGGUUAAGUACUUAAGGUACGGAGCCGCAGCGAGAGCGAGUCUGAAUAGGGCGUAAAGUUGUAUGUCAUAGACCCGAAACCGAGUGACCUAGCCAUGUCCAGGCUGAAGUGGAGGUAAAACUCCAUGGAGGGCCGAACCGACCUCCGUUGAAAAGGCGGCGGAUGAGGUGUGGCUAGCGGAGAAAUUCCAAUCGAACUCGGAUAUAGCUGGUUCUCUCCGAAAUAGCUUUAGGGCUAGCGUUGCAACAGAUUACCGGAGGUAAAGCACUGAAUAGGCUAGGGGGCGAGAGCUUACUGAACCUUAUCAAACUAAGAAUGCCGGAUAAUUGAUUUGCAGCAGUCAGACAGUGUGAGAUAAGUUUCAUUGUCAAAAGGGAAACAGCCCAGACCCACAGCUAAGGUCCCAAAGUACAUUUGAGUGGAAAAGGAUGUGGGGUUGCAUAGACAACCGGGAUGUUGGCUUAGAAGCAGCCAUACAUUAAAAGAGUGCGUAAUAGCUCACCGGUCGAGUGACCCUGCGCCGAAAAUUCAACGGGGCUAAAAUGUACACCGAAGCUUGGGAUUGUACUAUGUACAGUGGUAGGAGAGCGUCGUAUGAGAGGAGAAGUCAGAGCGGAAGCGCUGGUGGAUUUCAUACGAGUGAGAAUGCCGGAAUGAGUAGCGAGAAUUAUGUGAGAAUCAUAAUGGCCGAAAGUCUAAGGUUUUGGAAGGAAGGUUCGUCCGCUUCCAGUAAGCCGGGAGCUAAGGUGAGGCCGAAAGGCGUAGCCGAUGCACAUACGGUUGAAAUUCCGUAGCCUCCGAAGUAUUUAAACAGAAGGACACUUGAGAAGUGAUGUUGCCGGGCGAUGGUUGACCCGGUCGUAAGGGACCGAAAUUUAGUAGGGAAGUCAUCAUGGAUCGAGGCGAGAAAAGUUCUGUGAAUAUACAAGGAGCCCGUACCGCAAACCGACACAGGUAGAUAGGAAGAAAAUUCUAAGGCCAACGGGAGAAGGGUUGUUAAGGAACUCGGCAAGUUGACCCCGUAACUUCGGAAUAAGGGGUGCUCACGAGAGUGAGCCGCAGAGAAUAGGCCCAGGCAACUGUUUACCAAAAACACAGGUUUGUGCUAAAUCGAAAGAUGACGUAUACGAGCUGACGCCUGCCCGGUGCUGGAAGGUUAAGAGGAGAUGUGCAAGCAUUGAAUCGAAGCCCCAGUGAACGGCGGCCGUAACUAUAACGGUCCUAAGGUAGCGAAAUUCCUUGUCAGGUAAG
rnacentral:rRNA from 1 species